AUUGAACGCUGGCGGCAGGCCUAACACAUGCAAGUCGAACGGUAACAGGAAGAAGCUUGCUUCUUUGCUGACGAGUGGCGGACGGGUGAGUAAUGUCUGGGAAACUGCCUGAUGGAGGGGGAUAACUACUGGAAACGGUAGCUACUACCGCAUAACGUCGCAAGACCAAAAAGGGGGACCUUCGGGCCUCUUGCCAUCGGAUGUGCCCAGUUGGGAUUAGCUAGUAGGUGGGGUAACGGCUCACCUAGGCGACGAUCCCUAGCUGGUCUGAGAGGAUGACCAGCCACACUGGAACUGAGACACGGUCCAGACUCCUACGGGAGGCAGCAGUGGGGAAUAUUGCACAAUGGGCGCAAGCCUGAUGCAGCCAUGCCGCGUGUAUGAAGAAGGCCUUCGGGUUGUAAAGUACUUUCAGCGGGGAGGAAGGGAGUAAAGUUAAUACCUUUGCUCAUUGACGGUACCCGCAGAAGAAGCACCGGCUAACUCCGUG
rnacentral:rRNA from 1 species